GGUGAAAUCAGCCCGGAGAAGUGACAGGAUUGGCCCCCCGGCCUCCACCCUGCAAGCCAGCCCUAAGGAUGGGUGCUGGAGGAUGGUGAUGGUGGUUCUCACCCUUGUGUAAAGGUGGAAGUUUCUGAGCCAGGGAUCGAACCUGCACUGCAUCAGCGACCUGAGCCAUACCAGGUCCUUAACCAGAUGAGCCACAGGAGAACUCCCCAGAAGGUUCGUUUUUAUUACAUGCAAUGCAGACGGGUUAUUUCCUAUGUAACUUUACAAAUCGCUGACUGGAAUCCCAGGAUGAUAAAACCAAUGACCAGAGAGAUGUGAAAAUCCGAGGCUUAGACCAAAACAAAGGAAAUAAAACUCUUUCAUAUAGAUGGAAAUUGAACACAUGUGAAAGCUUUUCCUUAAUCGUCAAUCAAGGCACCAGUAAGAUCUUACAACUAGUUUGCAAGAGAAUCCAAAGAAGAUUCUAGAUGCCUGUCGGUCUGGAAUAUUGACAUUCCUGUCUAUGCUGAUUGAUGUGGCGAGAAAGAGAAACUGUGUGUACAGACUUGAAUUCUUUUUGCCUUGUCCUGUCAUCUGCACAGAGUUGUAAAAAUAGCUCAAAGACAAAAACACGCUUGAAUCAUAUAAUGGGAAAGGCUCCGUUCAAGACAAAGCACAGUUUUUCACUAAGACAAAUUUUCCCCGUGGUCUCAUAACUGCAAUGAAAUUUAUUGUGUCAUCAUGAAAUAAGGCUUGCCCCAUGAGAUUUGGCCUGAUUAUUUGAACAGGUGUGGCAAACAUGUCAAUUCACCUCAUAGCUCUUCCUGAGUUUGCUUUGCUGGAAGUCUCUGUGAGGGAUCUCAGAUGGGACUUUUAAAAGUCUGGGAUUUGUUACCCCGAGGUACUAAAGCCAUGCCCAACGAGCUCCCUCCCUCGGAUCUCACCUGUACCGCUUUAAAAUUUGCAAUAGGGUAUGAUUUUUAAAGGAGUUCCCUGGUGGCUCAGCAGGUUAAGGACCCAGCAUUCUCACAGCUGUGGCUCAGGUUACUGCUGUGGGGUAUGUUCGAUUACUAGCCCAAGAACCUCCACUGGCCAAAAAAAUAAGCAUUAAAAACAAAUACUUGGGAGUUGCCAUUGUCUCAGCGGGAUAAGAACCCAGCUAGUAUCCAUGAGGCUUCGCUCAGUGGGUUAGGGACGCGGUGUUGGCUCCGGCUGCAGUGUAGCUCACAGGUGUGGCCCUCAAAAGCAAAAAAACAACCUCUAGCUUGGGAACCUAGGCUACAGGUGCAGCUAUAAAGAGGGAAAAAAGGUGUUUCGUAUUUUCCCAUGGUAAAGAGUUCCUGCACGUUGUAAACAAUUUUAAGAAAACACAAGAAAUUUCAGGGGAAAAAAUAAAUCUUUUCUUACUACUUUUAACACUUUGGGAUGUCUCCUCCGAGUUGUUUAAGGUUUUUUUAAGUUACAAGUACAUUAAAACAGUUGAUAUAUAAUAAAUGUGACCGGAGUUGAGAUGAGACAGGUGAAGCGAACUGAGAUCUAGUAUGAGUGUCCAAGUUCUGUUUUGAUCUUUAAAAAAAAAAAGACCCUUAGCUUAGACGACGUGAUGUGCUGGAUUUGUUAACUGGAUUUUGUUUUCUACCAAAUAUAUGUUGUAAAUACAAACACUUGGGAAGAACUCCCAAAUUCUCCUUUUGAAAACCUCGGGUUCGGCAAGGACGCGGUUGUGUGCAUUUCAAGGAGCAACAUCGCCAUCCUGUGGCCCUGUCGAGUAUUGCUGCUGACCGAGCUGUAGGCUCGGGGUCCUGAUGGGGCCUGCAUCCCACAAAGCCUUGGUCCUUCCCAGAGGCUCCAUCCUGUCUGCAGGUGAGGGCGUCCCCCCAGCUUAAGGACGAAUUAAAGAGCAAACAAGUUGAACUCAUGGGUGGGCCACAGCAACUUAAGUCCUUGUUAAAGGCACUGAUACAAGAUUGGGAAUAGCUGUGCGUUUGAGGGCAGGAUGGUGGCUGAUGUAUGCGUGUUCCAUCCUCAGCAGUUCAAAUCUAUUUUCUGUAUGGUUUGAACGAUAUGAUAUUUGCAACUGACAAAAUAUCUCAGUAUAUAGUCCACGCCUCCCCUCUCCUUUGGCGAGGAAGCCAAGCCCAGGAGUGUAGAUGCCUGUUGUUGAUGGUGUAGAAAACUGUUUUUUAGGGAGUUCCUGUUGUGGCUCGGUGGGUUAACCCAGCUAGUAUCCGUGAGGAUGAGGAUUCAAUCCCUGGCCUGGCUCAGUGGGUUAUAUGACCUGGCGCUGCCACAAGCUGUGGCGUGGGUCAUGGAUGUGGUUCGGAUCUGGCGUUGCUGUUCGGAUCAGCCCCUAACCUGAGAACUUGUAUGUGCUGCCGGUGGGGCCCUAAGAAGAAGAAAAAGACCCUGCUUUUUAUUCAACUGACCCUGGGGACGUGAGUCACACCUAUAGGAUUUUUUUUUUUUUUUUGAACUUCAAUGAGAUAUGAUUCCACAUACCAUGCAAUUCCCCCACCUAAAAUCUCUGUGUUUUUAGUGUAUUCACAGAGGUGUUUUUGUGUGUCUUUUUAGGGUCACACCCAUGGCAUAUGGAGGUUCCUUCCCCAGGCUAGGGGUCUGAUCAGAGCUGCAGCCGCUGGUCUACACCACAGCCACAGCAACACGGGAUCCAAGCCCCGUCUGCAACCUACACCACAGUUCACGGCAACGCUGGAUCCUUACCCCACUGAGUGAGGCCAGGGAUCGAACCUGCAUCCUCAUGGAUGCCAGUCAGAUUCGUUAGCCACGGAGCCACCAUGGGAACUCCGUUGUUUGUUUUUUUGUUUGUUUUGUGUUUUAUUCACAGAGUUGUGUAACUAUGACCACAACUAAUUUUGUAACAUUGUCAUGACCCCCAAAGCAUAGUCCACCCAUUAGCAUAAUCCCCUCCUCCCUCCCCUCCAGCCCCUCCCAACUACUGAGCCUGCUGUCUUCAAGAUUCUGUCCACAUGGUAAAACAUAUCAGAACUUCAUUCUUGGGAGUUCCCUGGUGGCUCAGCAGGUUAAGGACCCAGCACUGUCACUGUUGCGGUACAGGUUGGAUCUCUGGCCUUGGAACUUCUAUAGAUACCACGGGCAUAGCCAAAAAAAGAAAAA
ensembl:lncRNA